rnacentral:lncRNA from 1 species
CAGAGCUAGAGGUGGAGCUGCUGUUAGCCACGUAAGGCUGGUGGGGCCAGGGUGGGUGAUGGUGGGGGAAGUUGGCUGGAAGUCCACCUAGAAGGGGCUUCACUGUGCUCACCUGACCCCUUGGGGUGGCGUCUGUGCCCGCUGCCCACGCCCGCCCUGCCACAUGCCAGGAUCAGCGAGCAGGAGCUGCGUCCGGUCUCUGCCCGAGCUCGUGUCUUCAUCGAGCUGCCGCUGUCCAUCACAGGGGUGGCCAUUCCCCAGCAGCUCUUCUUCUCCGGCGUGGUGCGGGGUGAGAGUGCCAUGCGGUCUGAGCGGGAUGUGGGCAGCAAGGUCAAGUACGAGGUCACGGUCUCCAACCAAGGCCAGUCACUCAACACCCUGGGCUCUGCCUUCCUCAACAUCAUGUGGCCCCACGAGAUUGCCAACGGGAAGUGGCUGCUGUACCCCAUGCGGGUCGAGCUGGAGGGCGGGCAGGGGCCCGGGCAGAAGGGGCUCUGUUCCCCCAGGCCCAACGCCCUCUACCUGGAUGUGGACAGCAGGGACAGGAGGCGGCGGGAGCUGGGGCAGCCGGAGCAGCCGGAGCCUCGUGAGCAGCCGGAGCCCAGCACGUCCUGGUGGCCAGUGUCCUCUGCUGAGAAGAAGAAAAACGUCACCCUGGUGCGGGCAGGGCAAACUUGGUGCAGCCAGAAUGGGGGAGGGGGCGCGUGGUAUGAUAGAGGAUGCGGGUGGUGGGGAGGGAAUGGUGCGUCAGGACGGUGGGUGGCGCGUGGGGAGGUGCGAUGGUCUGACAGCUGGGCAAGUUGACAGGACAGUGCACAACACGCCUGUGAGGCAGCUGCGGACGCCAAAGUCCCACCCCUCCACGCUCGCCAGGUGCUUACUCCAGGGCAGGCGCUUACCUAUAGCCUUUUCAUCUUGUGGAUGA